GGGGUUGUGGCUCAGGGGUAGAGCACUCGCAUAGCAUGUGCGAGGCCCUGGGUUUGAUCCUCAGCACCACA
rnacentral:tRNA from 1 species